rnacentral:rRNA from 1 species
CGCUGGCGGCGUGCUUAAUACAUGCAAGUCGAACGGAGGGUUAGCAAUAACUUCUUAGUGGCGAACGGGUGAGUAACGCGUGGGUGACCUGCCCCGAAGACAGGGAUAACAGUUCGAAAGGACUGCUAAUACCCGAUGAAGUUGUGGUGACUAGGAAGCCACAAACAAAAGGAGCGAUCCGCUUUGGGAGGGGCCUGCCGACCCAUCAGCUAGUUGGUAAGGUAAAGGCUUACCAAGGCGAAGACGGGUAGGGGACCUGAGAGGGUGAUCCCCCACACUGGCACUGAAACACGGGCCAGACACCUACGGGUGGCAGCAGUAGGGAAUAUUGCACAAUGGGCGAAAGCCUGAUGCAGCAACGCCGCGUGCGCGAAGAAGGCCUUCGGGUUGUAAAGCGCUUUUCUGGGAGAUGAGGAAGGACAGUAUCCCAGGAAUAAGGCUCGGCUAACUACGUG